rnacentral:rRNA from 1 species
AUUGAACGCUGGCGGCGUGCUUAACACAUGCAAGUCGAACGCGAAAGGGGCUUCGGCCCCGAGUAAAGUGGCGCACGGGUGAGUAACGCGUGGAUAAUCUGCCCUUAUGAGCGGGAUAACAGUUGGAAACGGCUGCUAAUACCGCAUACGCUCAAGAAGAACUUUUUGAGGAAAGAAGGCCUCUGCUUGCACGCUUUCGCAUAAGGAUGAGUCCGCGUCCCAUUAGCUUGUUGGCGGGGUAACGGCCCACCAAGGCAACGAUGGGUAGCCGAUUUGAGAGGAUGAUCGGCCACACUGGGACUGAAACACGGCCCAGACUCCUACGGGAGGCAGCAGUGGGGAAUAUUGCGCAAUGGGCGAAAGCCUGACGCAGCGACGCCGCGUGAGGGAUGAAGGUUUUCGGAUCGUAAACCUCUGUCAGAAGGGAAGAAACGGCAGCGUGCUAAUCAGCGUUGCCUUGACGGUACCUUCAAAGGAAGCACCGGCUAACUCCGUGCCAGCCGCCGCCGUAACAC